GAUGAACGCUGGCGGCGUGCCUAAUACAUGCAAGUCGAACGCUGGAAAUCUAGCUUGCUAGAUUGAAGGAGUGGCGAACGGGUGAGUAAUACAUAAGCAACCUACCCACGAAGACUGGGAUAAUCUCUGGAAACGGGGACUAAUACCGGAUAGGUAAUCGGAAGGCAUCUUCUGAUUAUUAAAGGUUAAAAACACUGGUGGAUGGGCUUAUGGCGCAUUAGUUAGUUGGUGAGGUAACGGCCCACCAAGACGAUGAUGCGUAGCCGGCCUGAGAGGGUGAACGGCCACAUUGGGACUGAGACACGGCCCAGACUCCUACGGGAGGCAGCAGUAGGGAAUUUUCGGCAAUGGGGGAAACCCUGACCGGGCAACGCCGCGUGCGUGAUGACGGCCUUCGGGUUGUAAAGCUCUGUUGUAAGGGAAGAACGGUAGAUAGAGAAUAUCUAAAUGACGGUACCUUACCAGAAAGCCACGGCUAACUACGUG
rnacentral:rRNA from 1 species